UAGUAACGGCGAGUGAAGCGGGAAAAGCUCAAAUUUGAAAUCUGGCGGUCUACGGCCGUCCGAGUUGUAAUCUAGAGAGGUGUUUUCCGUACUGGACCGUGUAAAAGUCCCUUGGAACAGGGCGUCAUAGAGGGUGAGAAUCCCGUCCAUGACACGGACUACCAGUGCUCUGUGAUACACCUUCAAAGAGUCGAGUUGUUUGGGAAUGCAGCUCAAAAUGGGUGGUAAAUUCCAUCUAAAGCUAAAUACAGGCGAGAGACCGAUAGCGAACAAGUACCGUGAGGGAAAGAUGAAAAGAACUUUGGAAAGAGAGUUAAACAGUACGUGAAAUUGUUGAAAGGGAAACGCUUGAAGUCAGUCGCGUCUGCUGGGACUCAACCUUGCUUUUGCCUGGUGUACUUCUCAGUAGAUGGGCCAGCAUCAAUUUCGGGCGCCGGAAAAGGGUUGGAGGAAUGUGACAGCUUGCUGUGUUAUAGCCUCUGAUCGUACACGGUGCUUGGGAUUGAGGACUGCAGCACGCCUUUUGGUCGGGGUUCUCCCACGCCACGUGCUUAGGAUGCUGGCGUAAUGGCUUUAAACGACCCGUCUUGAAACACGGACCAAGGAGUCUAACAUGCCUGCGAGUGUUUGGGUGGAAAACCCAGGCGCGUAAUGAAAGUGAAAAGUUGGGACUCUUUAGUGAGGCACC
rnacentral:rRNA from 1 species